CUUGACAACUAAUCCAGCAUUGUAAAACUGAAGAACCAUCUCACUCCACAUCACUGAUACAGAAUUGAUUAAUUGCCUGAAAAUCGACAAUGCCCUCAAGUUGGGUUACAUGAUGCUCACCGCGCCCAAUAAUAGUGUGUUGCAGUGACGCGGUAAAUGUCACGUGAUUCGAUACUCUCAGGACCUUGGUGAAAAUUCGAAGCGAUUUUGAAGGAAGCGGAACUCAGAACGUGCACAGUUCACAACGCGGUAUGUCAAGACAUGACUGUCUGGGACGAAAAUUCAUGUCAAGCUGUCUCUUGAUCCUAAUGGAUGUGACCCUUCAAAGCACAGUGUCUGUGCAUAUGGUUUCAAAGCAACAUCCAUCCCUUGGGGAAUUUGAUAAAAUUCUGUGUUGUGACCAGUCUGUAAUGAGGAUCUAUGAAACUUGAUAGUGAUACGAACAUUUACGAUCCAAAUGGCGUUCCCUUGUCGAUAGCUGUUUCUACAGGCGGAAGACAGGAGAUUCCAGUUUCAUGUUUGUCUUGAUACAUAUGGUUCAGUUAAGUGUUAUUGAAGACUAUCUAGGCUUCAAAAAAGUCUUACUAAAGUGAAGAAAUGAGCAGCAAGGAUGAAAGGGAGAAGGGUUGCAGGUCAGCUGUGUAGUGGUGAUCAGCCUCACGUCAGAACAACACAUCUCGAUCACCGCCUGCAUCGAAGUACGACCUCCGGUAACAAUCCCAUGUAGGAUGGUGAACUUGACUCUGCUCUGAAUCCCGUAUGUCGCCAAUUGUGAAUUCCUUCGUCCUCUUUGUGACAGUUUACAUGUCUGCCAAGACGAUCAGUGGCCCGAUCAUCCAGAACUCCGCCAGGUGCCUCGUCGUGUGUGAGUUCUCUGCUCUGAAUGUAGAUCCAAUUGCAUACAUUGCUUGGUGCAAAUGCGAAAUUAUGUACUUGUAGCUGUCCCGACACUGUCAAAUAUAUUAUGGUCGAGGAAAAAAUCUCGCAGUAUAGUCGAUCUCUCCACCUCCUUUCCUGGGUGGCCUGGACUUCAAGCUGACUCUAGCCUCCAAUUCUGCAGCGUAGUCUUGGGCCUUCAUCAAAGCCUGCACUUACCAUGAUUCACAUAUAUCAUGAGAAAUACAUGUGUCGAAAAAAAAGAAAAAGUCUGGAAACAUCAGAAAGGGGUUGUAGUUCAUGGGUCCAGGGGUUCAGAGCUGAGGGAGAAAUCGUGCUUGUUGUUUGCUAGGUAAAUUUCACCGUCUUCAUUAAAGGCUCGAAAUAGGUGUGACGACGGAAACGGGAGGUGACGAUGACGUGAACUGUGGGAAGGAUUACGUGAGGUUAAUGCGUCAUUAGUUGUUUGUUAGACCUCUGUUUAAAAAAUAUGAAGUUUAUAUCGAUCAUGUAUGAAAAGGCUGCUGUGGAUCGUUCGAAGCUAUUGGCAUCGACGCCAUUCGUCCGUAUCACGUAUUCAGAAACUUUUGAGAUUUGGAGAAGGUAAGGCUUUUACGCCUUGGUAUUAUAAACACCAAGUUGUUGUCUUUUUGCUUUUGAACAUGUAACUACCAACUACAAGCGAGAAGAUUCAUGAACACCGCGUUAUCACUGGA